rnacentral:rRNA from 1 species
CUACGGGGGGCAGCAGCCGAGGAAAUUUUACAAUGCUCGAAAGAGUGAUAAAAUGAGCCAGAGUGUUUCUCCUAGAGAAACUUUUAUCUGCUGUAAAAAAGCAGAUGAAUAAGGACUGGGCAAGACCGGUGCCAGCCGCCGCGGUAAUACCGGCGGUCCAAGUUGCAUCCACAUUUAUUGGGUCUAAAACAUCCGUAGCUUGUUUUACAAGUCUCUUGUGAAAUCCUAUGUCUCAAACAUGGGGCGUGCAAGAGAUACUGUAUUACUAGAGACCGGAAGACGCAAAGAGUACGGUUAAGGUAGCGGUAAAAUGUGUUAAUCUUAACCGGACUAACAAUGGCGAAGGCACUUUGCGAGUACGGAUCUGACAGUAAGGGAUGAAGGCUAGGGGCGCAAAAGGGAUUAGAUACCCCUGUAGUC